rnacentral:sRNA from 1 species
GUGGCAGCCACAGCAGCCUCAGGGACCUCAGCAACUAUGGCCUCCUGCCCAGACUCUGAUAAUAGCUGGGUGCUUGCUGGCUCCGAGAGCCUGCCAGUGGAGACACUGGGCCCGGCAUCCAGGAUGGACCCAGAAUCUGAGAGAGCCCUGCAGGCCCCUCACAGCCCCUCCAAGGCAGAUGGGAAAGAAUUAGCUGGGACCAUGGAUGGAGAAGGUACUGGGCCCUGCUUAGGACAUAGCUUACCGGACAAAGCUAUUCUCCAUAUUUUGGGGUUUCUCAGUUUCCUCAGAGAAAGGGAGGCUGGUUCGUUUUAGUUCCUCCAUUAAUCUCAGUUGACAAACUCCUUUUCUCAUUCCAUCCUGGCUUUUUCCUGCCUCUUCCAACCUGGUAGGGGCCCGUGGGAUGGACAGAGGGCUGCAAAGGAAAUUCAGCUGGGGCAGUGGGUUUUUCUGGGCCUUUUCUCCUACCACAGGGACACUCUUCCAGACUGAAAGCCCUCAGUCUGGCAGCAUUCUAACAGAGGAGACUGAGGUCAAGGUGAGGAGAUUCGCUGUGGGAAGGAAGGGAGGCGGGGAGGGCUAGCAGCUGCUCACUGCUGCAUCUGCAUUAGGGCACCCUGGAAGGUGAUGUUUGUGGUGUGGAGCCUCCUGGCCCAGGAGACACAGUAGUCCAGGGAGACCUGCAGGAGACCACUGUGGUGACAGGCCUGGGACCAGACACACAGGACCUGGAAGGCCAGAGCCCUCCACAGAGCCUGCCUUCAACCCCCAAAGCAGGUG